CCUACGGGAGGCAGCAGUAAGGAAUAUUGGUCAAUGGAGGCAACUCUGAACCAGCCAUGCCGCGUGCAGGAUGAAGGCCCUAUGGGUCGUAAACUGCUUUUGUACCAGAGAAAACCCGAGUACGUGUACUCGGUUGAUAGUAUGGUAAGAAUAAGCAUCGGCUAACUUCGUGCCAGCAGCCGCGGUAAGACGAAGGAUGCAAGCGUUAUCCGGAUUCAUUGGGUUUAAAGGGUGCGUAGGCGGACUGAUAAGUCAGUGGUGAAAUCUCUCGGCUUAACCGAGAAACUGCCAUUGAUACUGUCAGUCUAGAGUACAGAUGAUGUGGGCGGAAUAUGACAUGUAGCGGUGAAAUGCUUAGAUAUGUCAUAGAACACCGAUUGCGAAGGCAGCUCACAAAACUGUAACUGACGCUGAGGCACGAAAGUGCGGGGAUCAAACAGGAUUAGAUACCCUGGUAGUCCGCACCGUAAACGAUGAUUACUCGUUGUUGGCAAUAUGACCGUCAGCGACCAAGCGAAAGCGAUAAGAAUCCACCUGGGGAGUACGCCGGCGAACGGUGAAACUCAAAUGAAUUGACGG
rnacentral:rRNA from 1 species